rnacentral:misc_RNA from 1 species
CUAUGCCCAAAUUUGACGAUCGAUUUGCACGUCAGAACCGCUGCGAGCCUCCACCAGAGUUUCCUCUGGCUUCACCCUAUUCAAGCAUAGUUCACCAUCUUUCGGGUCCCAACAGCCAUGCUCUUACUCAAAUCCAUCCGAAGACAUCAGGAUCGGUCGAUGGUGCACCCAAAGGGUUCCCACCUCCGUUCACUUUCAUUACGCGUCUGGGCUUGACACCCAAACACUCGCAUAGAUGUUAGACUCCUUGGUCCGUGUUUCAAGACGGGCCGCUUACAGCCAUUACGCCAGCAUCCUAGCAGAUGCGCGGACCUCAGUCCAGGCUGGUUGCAUGUCGUCUCCCCUAUAAGGCCUCCCCGAAGAGAGGUACAUGACAGAGACCUUUAUCCAACCGCCCAAACUGAUGCUGGCCUGCCCGCAGAAGAGUGCACUGGACAAAAGUCCAGAUAAGCAACUACAGGCAAGUCUGGCUGCAAGCGCUUCCCUUUCAACAAUUUCACGUGCUAUUUGACUCUCUUUCCAAAGUGCUUUUCAUCUUUCGAUCACUCUACU